AUUUUUGUCAAACAAGAAGCCUGAAACCAUCAAGUCUGAGUGUGGAGACAGUCUGCCUGCUCUGUCAACAGGAUGAAACAGAGAAAGAGUCUUUCUUAAAUUGAAGAAAGACAUUUCCUUGGAGGAAUCAAAACGAC
rnacentral:lncRNA from 1 species